rnacentral:tRNA from 1 species
CGGGACGUAGCGCAGUUUGGUAGCGCAUCUGCUUUGGGAGCAGGGUGUCGCAGGUUCAAAUCCUGCCGUCCCGA